rnacentral:sRNA from 1 species
UCUGACAGCGGCCGUUACUGUCGGCCUC